GUGGACGCCAGUCUGCAUGGAGCCGACCUUGAAAUACCACCCUUUAAUGUUUGAUGUUCUAACGUGGACCCGUAAUCCGGGUUGCGGACAGUGUCUGGUGGGUAGUUUGACUGGGGCGGUCUCCUCCUAAAGAGUAACGGAGGAGCACGAAGGUUGGCUAAUCCUGGUCGGACAUCAGGAGGUUAGUGCAAUGGCAUAAGCCAGCUUGACUGCGAGCGUGACGGCGCGAGCAGGUGCGAAAGCAGGUCAUAGUGAUCCGGUGGUUCUGAAUGGAAGGGCCAUCGCUCAACGGAUAAAAGGUACUCCGGGGAUAACAGGCUGAUACCGCCCAAGAGUUCAUAUCGACGGCGGUGUUUGGCACCUCGAUGUCGGCUCAUCACAUCCUGGGGCUGAAGUAGGUCCCAAGGGUAUGGCUGUUCGCCAUUUAAAGUGGUACGCGAGCUGGGUUUAGAACGUCGUGAGACAGUUCGGUCCCUAUCUGCCGUGGGCGCUGGAGAACUGAGGGGGGCUGCUCCUAGUACGAGAGGACCGGAGUGGACGCAUCACUGGUGUUCGGGUUGUCAUG
rnacentral:rRNA from 1 species